rnacentral:rRNA from 1 species
CGAGCGCCCGCAAGGGGAGCGGCAGACGGGUGAGUAACGCGUGGGAACGUACCUUUUGCUACGGAAUAACUCAGGGAAACUUGUGCUAAUACCGUAUGUGCCCUUCGGGGAAAGAUUUAUCGGCAAAGGAUCGGCCCGCGUUGGAUUAGCUAGUUGGUGAGGUAAAGGCUCACCAAGGCGACGAUCCAUAGCCGGUCUGAGAGGAUGAUCAGCCACACUGGGACUGAGACACGGCCCAGACUCCUACGGGAGGCAGCAGCC